ACGGAGGGUGCAAGCGUUAAUCGGAAUUACUGGGCGUAAAGCGCACGUAGGCUGUUGUGUAAGUCAGGGGUGAAAUCCCACGGCUCAACCGUGGAACUGCCUUUGAUACUGCACGACUUGAAUCCGGGAGAGGGUGGCGGAAUUCCAGGUGUAGGAGUGAAAUCCGUAGAUAUCUGGAGGAACACCAGUGGCGAAGGCGGCCACCUGGACCGGUAUUGACGCUGAGGUGCGAAAGCGUGGGGAGCAAACAG
rnacentral:rRNA from 1 species